rnacentral:rRNA from 1 species
CACGUAGGGUGCAAGCGUUGUCCGGAAUUAUUGGGCGUAAAGGGCUCGUAGGCGGUCCGUCACGUCGGGAGUGAAAACUCGGGGCUCAACCCCGAGCCUGCUUCCGAUACGGGCGGACUAGAGGUAGGUAGGGGAGAGUGGAAUUCCUGGUGUAGCGGUGAAAUGCGCAGAUAUCAGGAGGAACACCGGUGGCGAAGGCGGGUCUCUGGGCCGAUACUGACGCUGAGGAGCGAAAGCGUGGGGAGCGAACAGG